rnacentral:tRNA from 1 species
GCUCAGUUGGUUAAGCGUCUGACUUCUGGUCAUGAUCUCAGAGGUUUGUGGGUUCGAGUCCCAUAUUGGGCU